GAGGGAAACUUACUGAUAAUACUGGAUAAGUUAGUAUAUCGCAUGAUAUGCAAAUGAAAGCUACGGCACUAAAGGAGAGCUUUGCGUCCUAUUAGCUAGUUGGUAAGGUAAGAGCUUACCAAGGCGAUGAUAGGUAGCCGGCCUGAGAGGGUGGACGGCCACAAGGGGACUGAGAUACGGCCCUUACUCCUACGGGAGGCAGCAGCG
rnacentral:rRNA from 1 species